UGAUACCAGACAUGGAAGAGAACAGAGGAGUCCUACAUCUCACAUCUCACAUACGUUCAGAGGGAAACGCUGUUCAGAUAAGUGAGAUCAGUGGAGGCAGCCUAUGAGAAGCUGGCAGAUGAGGCUCUGGAUGCAUUGGCUGACUACUUUGAGGAUCUGAUUGAUGGACCACUAGCAGGGCCUGAGUUUGAUGUUCUCUUCUAUGGAAUCUGGCCUGACCUCCUGACCUCAACCCCUCCUUCGCAUAAUCCACAGAUGUCCUCACCUAUCGCACUCCCGUGACUCCCUCUCGUCCACCCAGCACAUUCCACAGCCACUCUGUCUUACUACAGAGAACCAUAAACUUCUCACUCCUUUAUAUAUAAUGCGUCUGAUUUAUCAUGUCUUUAAUAUCUCAAUGUUCAAUGUUUACCCCGAAUCCAACACAUGAAACGCUGUCUUCUCUGUAAGUAGGCUACUGAUUAUAUUCUGAUUGUAAGUCAAUCUGGAUAAGUGUAUAUUCAAUUAUGGAAAUGGCCAGAGUAUGAAAGUACAGAGACUUCUCUAUAAGUACAGGGAGAUACUGUACAUACCAAUUGCGCUCCUUUUGGGAAAAUCUUAUCUUUAUCUAUCCUUAUUUU